UACGUAGGGUGCAAGCGUUAUCCGGAAUUAUUGGGCGUAAAGAGCUCGUAGGCGGUUUGUCGCGUCUGCUGUGAAAACUGGGGGCUCAACCCCCAGCCUGCAGUGGGUACGGGCAGACUAGAGUGCGGUAGGGGAGAUUGGAAUUCCUGGGGUAGCGGUGGAAUGCGCAGAUAUCAGGAGGAACACCGAUGGCGAAGGCAGGUCACUGGGCCGCAACUGACGCUGAGGAGCGAAAGCAUGGGGAGCGAACAGG
rnacentral:rRNA from 1 species